rnacentral:rRNA from 1 species
GAUGAACGCUGGCGGCGUGCCUAAUACAUGCAAGUCGAGCGAACAGACGAGGAGCUUGCUCCUCUGACGUUAGCGGCGGACGGGUGAGUAACACGUGGAUAACCUACCUAUCAGACUGGGAUAACUUCGGGAAACCGGAGCUAAUACCGGAUAAUAUAUUGAACCGCAUGGUUCAAUAGUGAAAGACGGUUUUGCUGUCACUUAUAGAUGGAUCCGCGCCGCAUUAACUAGUUGGUAAGGUAACGGCUUACCAAGGCAACGAUGCGUAGCCGACCUGAGAGGGUGGUCGGCCACACUGGAACUGAGACACGGUCCAGACUCCUACGGGAGGCAGCAGUAGGGAAUCUUCCGCAAUGGGCGAGAGCUUGACGGAGCAACGCCGCGUGAGUGAUGAAGGUCUUCGGAUCGUAAAACUCUGUUAUUAGGGGAGAACAAAUGUGUAAGUAACUAUGCACGUCUUGACGGUACCUAAUCAGAAAGCCACGGCUAACUACGUG